UACGGAGGGUGCGAGCGUUAAUCGGAAUUACUGGGCGUAAAGCGCGCGUAGGCGGCUGACUAAGUCGGGUGUGAAAGCCCCGGGCUCAACCUGGGAAUUGCAUUCGAUACUGGUUGGCUGGAGUCUGGUAGAGGGGUGUGGAAUUCCAGGUGUAGCGGUGAAAUGCGUAGAUAUCUGGAGGAACAUCAGUGGCGAAGGCGGCACCCUGGACCAAGACUGACGCUGAGGUGCGAAAGCGUGGGUAGCAAACAGGAUUAGAUACCCUGGUAGUCCACGCCGUAAACGAUGAGAACUAGCCGUUGGGAGGAUUAGCCUCUUAGUGGCGAAGCUAACGCGAUAAGUUCUCCGCCUGGGGAGUACGGCCGCAAGGUUAAA
rnacentral:rRNA from 1 species